AUGAACGCUAGCGGCAGGCCUAAUACAUGCAAGUCGAGGGGCAGCAGGGGUAGCAAUACUCGCUGGCGACCGGCAAACGGGUGCGGAACACGUACGCAACCUUCCUUCAAGCGGGAGAUAGCCCGGAGAAAUCCGGAUUAAUAUCCCAUAGGAUUGUGGAUCGGCAUCGAUCAGCAAUUAAAGAUUUAUCACUUGAAGAUGGGCGUGCGUCUGAUUAGGUAGUUGGUGAGGUAACGGCUCACCAAGCCGACGAUCAGUAACUGGCGUGAGAGCGCGACCAGUCACACGGGCACUGAGACACGGGCCCGACUCCUACGGGAGGCAGCAGUAAGGAAUAUUGGUCAAUGGACGCAAGUCUGAACCAGCCAUGCCGCGUGGAGGAUGAAGGUCCUCUGGAUUGUAAACUUCUUUUAUCUGGGAAGAAAUGGUUGCUUUCUAGCGAUCUUGACGGUACCAGAUGAAUAAGCACCGGCUAACUCCGUG
rnacentral:rRNA from 1 species